rnacentral:rRNA from 1 species
AACGAGAAGAACCUUACCUACUCUUGACAUCCAGAGAACUUAGCAGAGAUGCUUUGGUGCCUUCGGGAACUCUGAGACAGGUGCUGCAUGGCUGUCGUCAGCUCGUGUUGUGAAAUGUUGGGUUAAGUCCCGCAACGAGCGCAACCCUUAUCCUUUGUUGCCAGCGGUUCGGCCGGGAACUCAAAGGAGACUGCCAGUGAUAAACUGGAGGAAGGUGGGGAUGACGUCAAGUCAUCAUGGCCCUUACGAGUAGGGCUACACACGUGCUACAAUGGCGCAUACAAAGAGAAGCGACCUCGCGAGAGCAAGCGGACCUCAUAAAGUGCGUCGUAGUCCGGAUUGGAGUCUGCAACUCGACACCAUGAAGUCGGAAUCGCAAGUAA